UACGGAGGGUGCUAGCGUUGUUCGGAAUUACUGGGCGUAAAGGGCGCGUAGGCGGCCGUUUGCGUCGGAUGUGAAAGCCCGGGGCUCAACCUCGGAACGGCAUUCGAUACGGGACGGCUGGAGACCGGGAGAGGAGAGUGGAAUAGCCAGUGUAGAGGUGAAAUUCGUAGAUAUUGGCUGGAACACCGGUGGCGAAAGCGGCUCUCUGGCCCGGUUCUGACGCUGAGGCGCGAAAGCGUGGGGGAGCAAACAGG
rnacentral:rRNA from 1 species